UAACAGGUUAAAGUCCUGAAGGAGGAAUUGUCCGUACGCCUUCUUAGCACCGGGAAGCAGCGUCUGGGUAACCAGAGGUUGUAAGUUUCUUAUGGGCAAAGAUGCAGGCCGUAACNNNN
rfam:Desulfobacter postgatei 2ac9 chromosome, whole genome shotgun sequence.